rnacentral:misc_RNA from 1 species
AGAGAAAAAUCAAAAAGGACUAUGUUGAAUUGUCUGAACAGCCCUUAUGUUUGAUACCUACUUUUUUACAACGCCUCUCUUCGACACACACACAUCAUGUUAGUUUCCCUUUCUCCACGGGUCAGCGUCAGCAUCUCAACUUUAGCACCUCCUCUUAUCGUCAGGACAGCAGCUUGACAAGGGUACAGGGUUGUCAGUUAAAACCAGUUUGUUCUGGUUUAAAGUCUGUUUGCUUAUAUGCUUUCUACUAACCAUGAGUUUCAUCAAAUUUGUGUGUUGGGGGGAGGGGGGAACACUUCAUCAUAUUCAAAUUUUUAUUUUGAAAAAUGGUGGGUCAUACUGCAUAUUUACUUGGGACACGCCAAAGUCAAUGUAGUGCAGGAUGAUGUAUUAAUUGCAUGACAUCAUAUUGUUUCAACAUUUUAAUACCAGGGGAAAAUUUCUUUAGAAGUUUAACCCAUUUUCUGUUUUUAAUUGUUGUUUUAUGUAUAGUUUGUAGUUAAAAACUUUACACAUAUGCAUAAUCAUACAAAAAACAUCUUUAGAAAGCUUUUAUUUGGGAGAUUGCUCUUUCUUAUUCUUUUUGUAAAUGUGACCACUUGGACCUUCCUUAUAUUGCUUUUGUGUAUUGCCAUAGUUUUGAGGGGAAAAAUAAUGAAAUAAAAAGGUUUGAAAAUUUAUGGCAUAUUUAAAAGCAUGUAGGUUUAAUAAAUAUAUUAAGACAAGAGCGAGCAACUGUAAAGCUAUAAAGAUUCCAAAAUUUAUUUCUUGAUAUUAUUCUUCAGAUCACCAUCACCUAGAAGAAGGAGUCCAUUCUCCCCAAGAAGAAGAAGCCCCUCUCCAAGAAGAAGGAGCAGAAGCAGAAGUCGCUCAAGAUCUCCCUCCUACAGAAGGUCCCGAUCUCCAUACGAAAGAAGAUAAACAGAAAAGAUUACCAACAAGAUUCAGUAGCCCAAGUGUACUUGCAAAGUUCACUGUGAAGUUCAUGUGACUAAAGAGUGGAAAAUUUUAUCUUAACACUGGCUGUUUUAUAUUUUUUAAUCCAUAUCAUUCAUCAUGAUUUUAAUUGGAUACACAUACUGCUGUGUCUGUCAACAACAUGUUCCACAAAUACUUGGAAACAUCAACAUUAUGGCCUCUUGUCAUGUGCAUUUUAUGAUGUAAGAUAAUGAAAUAUGUAUAUAUAUUAUAUAACUGUUUUUACAUACCUACAGAUGUUGUUGAAAAAUAAAACUUGAAAC